CACUAGCAAGCCUCCGUCUCGUCUGGGGGCCUGAAGCUGAUAGAUGCCUGCCAAAGCCUGCAUCAGUAACGAGAUGGGGAAUGAUGGGAAAAGCUUCCGGGGAGCAGGGACCAAGGGGCCCUCUCCUCUGCCCCCUCCCCACAUCCUCUUGGGGCAUUGUGCAUCAUCAGCUUGAGUUUGUGUUGGCCCCAGUCACACCUCUCUUUGCCCCACCUCAUCCCACCUGGUGUCCUUGUCUCUGAGCUUCAUAGAAUCGGGUGGUGCUCUGUUUUGUGAAGUCAGCUGCCAGGAAGCCAGAGGGGGAUGGUGGUGGUGGGGGCGGGGGGGGAGUGUAUAGAAGCAGUUUCCAUCUACUCAAGUGGUGCAAGAGAGCUCAAGCGGCUGUUUUGUUUUUUUUUUGUUUUGUUUGUUUUCCAUUCUAGCUCCCCAACCCUUUCUAAGACUGUCAAAUGCCUCUUGCCUCCACUACAGGGGACCUGUCCCCUCGCCCUUUGUAAACUAGACCCUAAGGUUGGGGCUGGACUGGAAAAGAGGGGCCUCCUUCACAAUGAUCUUUGUGCCUCCAUGCUCAGUGUCAUGGAGAAUACACACAUGCUCUUGUGCACCUUGCUUCCCUCACCCGCCAGAGCUGCGACAUAGGAAUAAUCACUUAAAUAUUUUUUCAAACGAAGGCAGUGCGUUAAAGACCUGGGAAGUGCAUUUUCCAGUCUGAGGACCAGAUAUGUCAGCUCAGAGACUGGCUGCUGGUGAGAAGGGCUGGGUGUGCAGCAGACGGCUUGUCAUGGAGCAAUGACAGCAGACAGGAGCAGACGGGUUUUGUGGGCCUCAGUCUGCCUGCAGCAGCGCCUGGAGGGAGGGAAGUUAUCAUUGGAGAGGCUUUCUAGGUCUGAUAGAGCUUCCUUCUCCACACUGUCGAGAACUGCUGGCGUAGAGUUCGGCCAGUGUUGUGAAACCGGUUUUAUUUAUUUAUUAUUAAAGUUACUAUUACUGGAUUACCCAGUGUGCACCUUAGGAAAGAUAAUUUUAAACAAUAAGUGAGGCCCAAAACAACAACAAAAAUGAUUUCCCGGUAGAAAUGGAUGGGAAAUUCCUUUGUUGCUUAAGACAAUUCCUAAGCCCUAGGUAAAGGCUGCCUUGGGUGAAUCGAUGAGAUUUUGCUGAACAUCCAAUAUUUUCACAGAGCUCCUGGCACCCUGAUUUUCAGUAUUUUUUUCUUUUCUUUUUGAGGAAACUGGCAGCUGAGAAUGAGGCAUGACAUGAGCAAUCUGGCUUCCUCCAGAGGGGAAGAUUCAGAAGCAUUUAAUCUGCAGUGUGGAUGUUGUCCCUCAGUGGUUUAUGAACUCUGGGCAUGCUCAUCUCUGCUGGUGGCUGCCUUUGAGCUAGUCUAAGCGCCUCUCCUUAGCUUAAAGCAGUUGUCUUACCAACGCCUCUAUUACAUUUGCUACAGAAGCAGCAUGUUGUGUCUUCAAAUUAUAGUUGUCAUUCGGUCUCUAAGCUAGGGGACAAAGGAACAGAGAGGACCCUCCCCCCACCCCCACCGUGGAUGGUGCUUAAAGAGAAAUUUUGAUUACCUUGCUUAGUAACAAUCCCCCUCCCCCCUUCUCCCAUAGUACAUGCAUUUUGCUUCUUGCAGAUAUUUGCUAAUUAUAGGGUGUUUUGUUCCUUCAGCCCAAAGUUCUGGCAUGCUCGUGCUAUUGAGCUAAUCAAUGCGGCUUUUUCUUUCUCUCACUAAUGGUAGGGUAGAACUACCACCCUCUUCUCCUUUGAAAUCUCUAUUCAUGGACUAGGACAACAUGGGAGGCUGUUAGGCAUUUAUUCCUACAGGUUUGGCAGCGGAAUCACGCACGUGCUGAAGCCCGAGGUGCUGGUUGAGUCUUGGGGACCAUCGCCCAGUGAGAGCUUCAGUCCUUCCACACCACCCCGGGAGGUCACAUGGUUCUCAGAGGCAUUUUCAGGGUCUUCUGCCUUGCCUGCCUCCUCUUCAUACGCUGUCCUUUCUCCCACUUGGCCUUAACUUGUGCCUUUCCCCCAAUCGACCUGCUAACAAGGUUGUUGUUAAAAAGGUUUAGUAUCUAUAUUUCAUUCAAGGGAUAUUAAUGAAAACUCGGUUAAGAAGCAAAACAUCAGCCACAGCCCUAUCAUCAGGGCUUUUAGAUAUUUCUAUAUAUUGACUGUGUAUGGUGUUCUUUUACUCUCCAUACAAUUUUGUGUUCCUGUGUUUAUAAAACAAGCACUUUUCCGUGUCAU